rnacentral:rRNA from 1 species
AUUGAACGCUGGCGGCAGGCCUAACACAUGCAAGUCGAGCGGAUGAAGGGAGCUUGCUCCUGGAUUCAGCGGCGGACGGGUGAGUAAUGCCUAGGAAUCUGCCUGGUAGUGGGGGAUAACGUCCGGAAACGGGCGCUAAUACCGCAUACGUCCUGAGGGAGAAAGUGGGGGAUCUUCGGACCUCACGCUAUCAGAUGAGCCUAGGUCGGAUUAGCUAGUUGGUGGGGUAAAGGCCUACCAAGGCGACUAACCGAAGCUGGUCUGAGAGGAUGAUCAGUCACACUGGAACUGAGACACGGUCCAGACUCCUACGGUAGGCAGCAGUGGGGAAUAUUGGACAAUGGACGAAAGCCUGAUCCAGCCAUGCCGCGUGUGUGAAGAAGGUCUUCGGAUGGUAAAGCACUUUAAGUUUGGAGGAAGUGCAGUAAGUUAAUACCUUGCUGUUUUGACGUUACCAACAGAAUAAGCACCGGCUAACUUCGUG